rnacentral:rRNA from 1 species
AUCGAACGCUGGCGGAAUGCUUUACACAUGCAAGUCGAACGGCAGCACGGACUUCGGUCUGGUGGCGAGUGGCGAACGGGUGAGUAAUGUAUCGGAACGUGCCCAGUCGUGGGGGAUAACGUAGUGAAAAUUACGCUAAUACCGCAUACGAUCUAUGGAUGAAAGCGGGGGAUCGCAAGACCUCGCGCGAUUGGAGCGGCUGAUAUCAGAUUAGGUAGUUGGUGGGGUAAAGGCCCACCAAGCCAACGAUCUGUAGCUGGUCUGAGAGGACGACCAGCAACACUGGAACUGAGACACGGUCCAGACUCCUACGGGAGGCAGCAGUGGGGAAUUUUGGACAAUGGGCGAAAGCCUGAUCCAGCCAUUCCGCGUGCAGGAUGAAGGCCCUCGGGUUGUAAACUGCCUUUGUAUAGAACGAAAAGGUUUCUACUAAUACUAGGAGCUCAUGACGGUACUGUAAGAAUAAGCACCGGCUAACUACGUGCCAGCCGCCGCGGUAA